rnacentral:lncRNA from 1 species
AUAUGCCCCUGACUGGAGAGAAGCCCAGGUUGGCUGCCUACAAUCAGAGUCCACAUAUGUUCGGGGGAGGGACCCCAGAAGGCGGCUGACAGUAUUCCUUUAGCCAGAAAUCCCUUCAGGGAAGAGAAAGGUGCUCCCCUUUGCCUGCUUUUAUACUACAGACUGUUUCCAACUCCAGCUAGAAGUGACUAUUGCCGAUUAUGCUAAUCAGUGGCGACAAGCUCCCUUUGACUGCUCACUUCUCCAGUGAGGCUUCAAGCUUCUAGGCAUCAAGAUUAGUAAGGCUGUCUUCUGGGUGGGCCAGUUUGUUUCUCAGUGACACGAAAACAUUGCCUGGGGUGUGCACUGGUAUUUUCCAGAAAAUAUUUCAAGCAGAAUAUACUUAUUUUCCAGUUUUGAAAACAACUAGAUUGCCCAUCUCCAUUUCUCUCUAUCAUCUACUGUAUUAUUCUAUGGACAACUGCCACCCUAAUAAGCUCAAAGGAAACCAUGAGAGACUGUCUAACUAGACUUUUUGCUUGAUUUCCUGGACCCAAGAGCAGGAGUGAGGAGCUUUCUCCUGGUCAAGAAGGGAAGCCAGAAGUCAAGGCCACAGAAGACACAGGAAACAUCAUUUCCAAAGUGGGAGACAAAGCUGUUAACAGGAAAUUAUUUGUAAAGUCAAGAGCCAAGCAAAACAGAAAAAGGACAAGAAAUCUAUCACCUGUGGGUAUGAAUGGUUCUAGGGAAGUCUGUUGACAAUUGGAGGGUCUCAAAGGCGCUUUAUGGUACUUAUUUUAUGACCCUGAGUCUGGAGUCUGAUGAAUUAAAGAGGAAAUUCUGCUCUGGGCAACAUUUAAGAGAUAGUAUCUCCAGGCAGUAACUUUCGUAUUAACUCUCAUAAGAUUGAUGCCAUUCUGUCAUCUAAAGUGUGGACAAAAGUAGCAUUAAAGCAAAAUGAAAGGAUA